rnacentral:lncRNA from 1 species
CCUCUCCUGCCCAUGGUGGGAGGUUGGGAAGGACAUUCCCCCAUUUCCAUUUGCUCUGCCAUUCAAAACCUUGUGAGGGCCCUCAGGGAAGAAUCCCUUUGCAGGUCAUAAACUGACCUGCAGAAUUAUGGGAUCUUAACUGUGGGGAGAGACCUAGAAGACCGGCUAGUGACCAGAUUCUCAUCUAACUCCUUUUUUUUUGCAGAUGAGGAAACUGAGGCCCCACGUGGUGAAGACAAUUUUUACCCGAAUCCACCCACAACAAGAGACCAUUUGGAUAAUGUACAUUAUGGGAAGAGAACAGAGUCUCAGUGAAGAUCAUGUUUCCCCAGCAACACAGGUGCCAGGAGUAGCUGGCUCUGGUCCCAGCCCAGACUCAGAAAUCCUGAGCCACCAGACCAUUUCUAGAUUAACAAAGGCCUGCAUUAAUUUGAUUUCAGUGACCCACUGGAAACCAGUGUCAGCAUAACAACAGUUACGAGAGCUAAACCUACAAAAUAGAAACACAAGUAAAACUUGUUCAAGUGGUUUGCAGUCAUUGAACAUAGAUCAGCUCCUAUGAAAACAAACUCCAUGGGUUUUCUUUGAUGGCAGUUCUGCUCUAAAGAUGGAUAAGGAAGGAGGUUCCAAGAUGGCCGAAUAGGAACAGCUCCAGUCUACAGCUCCCAGCAUGAGCAACGCAGAAGACAGGGGAUUUCUGCAUUUCCAAUUGAGAACACAGGAGCUAUGUGGAGAGUUGAUGGAGGGACAUUCCAGGCAGAGAGAACAGCAAACACAAAGGCCUUGAAGGGAGCGGUGGCUUACAUCUGCAAUCCCACCACUUUGG